UUCGAUAUUAUUAUGGCAGCCAUUGUUCCAUUAAUCCAUUUCAUCCAUAAAGAAAGUUUUUUUUUUUUUUUUUAAUUUAGCUUUCAUUUGUGAUUCAAGGUUGAAUAAACGCAAGGCCAAACGAGCCCACGAAGCUGCUAUGGAUUCGGAUGGGGACGAUGGUGUGACUGAAAACCAAACCGGGUCAAACCCAACUUUUGAACCUAAGGUUGGGCAACAUGUUAUUUUCACAAAUGCUAAAGGUGAAGAGAUUGGAAGAGGAAAGAUACAUAAAACCAAAGGUGUAUGGUUUGAAAAGGAUUUGGAGGAAUUAAAGCUAUGUGUGCUGGAUGUUACGGAUCUUGAGGUGUGGGACUGCAGCCAGCUCCCGCACCCAACUGAUAUCAUGACCACAUUUCUUCAGGCGAAAGUGAUUCUUGGUAAAACAAGGAUCAUGUGGGAUUCCAGCCGACUUAUUUUGAUCAGCCAGUAGAUGCCUAGAUGACAGAUUAACCUUUCUUUCUGACAGAUCUAAGGAGAUGACAGUUAAAGUCGGGAAACUAGUGUCACAGCUGCUGGGAUUAAUCCAUUGCAUCGAUAGUUGAUGCAUAAAAAGAUAUAUGCAACAUUUCAGUUUAAAAACGCAGGGUGUUGUAGUGUACUUUUAGUUUCUUUUCUUUCAGAUAAACUCAGUUUAAAUAUAUAACAUACUCUGGUUGUUUGAUGAAAAGUAUUGCUUCAUGGUGGUUUACCAUGUA